rnacentral:rRNA from 1 species
UACGUAGGGGGCAAGCGUUGUCCGGAAUCAUUGGGCGUAAAGAGCGUGUAGGCGGCCAGAUAAGUCCGCUGUGAAAUCUCGAGGCUCAACUUCGAGCUGUCGGUGGAAACUGUCUGGCUAGAGUCCGGAAGAGGAGAAUGGAAUUCCUGGUGUAGCGGUGAAAUGCGCAGAUAUCAGGAAGAACACCCGUGGCGAAGGCGGUUCUCUGGGGACGGUACUGACGCUGAGACGCGAAAGCGUGGGGGAGCGAACAGG